GCAAACUUGGUCAUUUAGAGGAAGUAAAAGUCGUAACAAGGUCUCCGUUGGUGAACCAGCGGAGGGAUCAUUAUAGAGUUUUUACAACUCCCCAACCCUUUGUGAACUUUGUUCUCUAUUUCUGCUUCGACAGGUGGUCCCAGGGCGGGACCAGCGCCCGUCUAACCAGGCGGGCACCUGUCAGAGGUGGAACAAGACUCUGUUUUUCAAUGAGUAUCUGAGUGGUUUAUAAAAUAAGUUAAAACUUUCAACAACGGAUCUCUUGGUUCUGGCAUCGAUGAAGAACGCAGC
rnacentral:misc_RNA from 1 species